GGUAAACCAGUGAAAGAAAUGCUGCCAUUUUAAUAGCCUUAUUAAUCCAGUUCAGUAAUAAAUCUGUCAGUAAAAUUGUUGUUUUACUAAGGUAGGAUUGAUUGCCUUAAUUAUCUGUCAUUUAGCACUAAUACUAUAAAACUCUAUCCCUUAUAGGCUGUAAAACGUGUCAAUCAUACACAUGUUCACAGGAAGAGUUCUUAUUGGCUCUAUCAGGAAAUGCUGACUUCUGAUUGGUGAGACCGCUUAAGUCCCGCCCUGAAAAUCGGCACUUCCGGGAAGAAAUCCCAAGAAAGACGGAGCAGAGCCGAUGUUAAGCUAUGAAGAGAGAAAUGGAGAAUUUUGAAAGAUUAAAACGUUUGAGAUUUAUAUGUUACCUGUCUGAAGAACGGUGUGUGAUCCGACAGCCCCAGGUUCGGGACAACAACCAGAACAAUAAAACAUUUGGCGAAGUUUUGGCGGAUUUAUCAUUAAUGUUUCUGCUGGAGCCGGGUGUAGGGGACCAAAUUACAUCGGCGGAGUUGGAAGUAGAUGGCUGGAGAUGUGAUGGUGAAACCCCUGGGCCACGCUCCUUUGAGGGAGAAACAGGAGAUUAGACUGGAGAUGCUGACAUCUUUGCAGAUGAUUGAUUCACCCCGUCUGGCCGGAGUGGAGAGGAUGGAUCCUCCCUGGGGCGAAGGCUCCAGCGCAGUGUCACCUCACCAGAUACGGACCCUCUGCUCCUCUAACCUCCCCCAACUCUGUAUUUGUCUUCUGCAAGCUGCUGCAAUCAGUGCAGGCCUUGAUUGAACUUGGGCAGGUGAGUGGAGUACACUUUAAUCAUGACGCCAGUGCAUGCCAGAUUAUCCCCUCUGCACGGGUGUGCAACCGGAGGAGGGGG